CCCCUAGACGUUCUGGGCUGCACGCGCGCUACAAUAAUACGCACAGCGAGUAUCACCGAGCUCGAAAGGGCAAGGUAAACAAUAGAAAAGGUACUGUAAUGGUUAUAGAUCCUUGUAAUUAUUGAUCUUCAACGAGGAAUUCCUAGUAAGCGCAAGUCAGCAGCUUGCGUUGAUUACGUCCCUGCCCUUUGUACACACCGCCCGUCGCUACUACCGAUUGAAUGGUUUAGUGAGAUCUUCGGAUUGGCGCCACUGCGGCUCAGCAAUGGGCUCGGUGGAUGCCGAAAAGUUGAUCAAACUUGAUCAUUUAGAGGAAGUAAAAGUCGUAACA
rnacentral:rRNA from 1 species